rnacentral:rRNA from 1 species
UGAGCAAUCUGCCCUUCUCUCUGGAAUAAGCGUUGGAAACGACGUCUAAUGCCGAAUACGACCUCCUUUCGCAUGAUCGGAGGUGGAAAGCUCCGGCGGAGAAGGAUGAGCUCGCGGCCUAUCAGCUAGUUGGUGUGGGUAAUGGCCCACCAAGGCGACGACGGGUAGCCGGCCUGAGAGGGUGACCGGCCACACUGGGACUGAGACACGGCCCAGACUCCGUACGGGAGCAG